AACGAACGCUGGCGGCAUGCCUAACACAUGCAAGUCGAACGAACCCUUCGGGGUUAGUGGCGCACGGGUGCGUAACGCGAGGGAAUCUGCCCUUUGCUUCGGAAUAACUCAGGGAAACUUGUGCUAAUACCGGAUGAUGUCUUCGGACCAAAGAUUUAUCGGCAAGGGAUGAGCCCGCGUAGGAUUAGGUAGUUGGUGGGGUAAAGGCCUACCAAGCCGACGAUCCUUAGCUGGUCUGAGAGGAUGAUCAGCCACACUGGGACUGAGACACGGCCCAGACUCCUACGGGAGGCAGCAGUGGGGAAUAUUGGACAAUGGGCGCAAGCCUGAUCCAGCAAUGCCGCGUGAGUGAUGAAGGCCCUCGGGUCGUAAAGCUCUUUUAACAGGGAUGAUAAUGACAGUACCUGGAGAAUAAGCGCCGGCUAACUCCGUG
rnacentral:rRNA from 1 species